rnacentral:sRNA from 1 species
GAUUACGGGGGGUUAAUCCGAAAUACUGUACAGAUAAGACUAAUUACAAGAGAGAUUAAUGAGACUUUUUGAGAAUAAUGUUUUUAACAACAACUGUAACAACAACAAAUCUACUUAGAAAAAA